rnacentral:rRNA from 1 species
CGCGCAGGCGGUCGUUCAAGUCGAGUGUGAAAGCCCCCGGCUCAACUGGGGAGGGUCAUUCGAUACUGAUCGACUCGAAGGCAGGAGAGGGAAGUGGAAUUCCCGGUGUAGUGGUGAAAUGCGUAGAUAUCGGGAGGAACACCAGUGGCGAAGGCGACUUCCUGGCCUGUUCUUGACGCUGAGGCGCGAAAGCUAGGGGAGCAAACG